AGGCCUGGAGUUUGACACCUGCUUUUAAAUAACAAUACAGGGUGGGCCAUAAGUUUACAUACAUAGGAGAAUGUAAAAUGUAUUCUUUUAUAUUUCAGAUACCCAAGAAGAUGCGUUUGACAAAAGAGCAAAGAAUUUAAAUUAUGCUGAUGGCUGGAUUGGGAAGCAGUCGGAUGGUUGCACGAAACUUUAACAGAAAACAUGCUACCAGCAUUACACACGACACUGUAAAAAUUUUUUUGCAAGUUUCAGAAAACUGGAAAUGUUGCAGCUCAACCACGAAGUGGUCCAAGACGUGCAGCAAUUACACAGAGUCCCACAAAAAUAAAAACGGUUGUCCAAUAUGAAAUAUUUAUUUUUUCUAUGUGUGGAAACUUAUGGCCCACCUUGUAUAUCUGUUGACUCUUUGCAAGCGUCUUACUUCAGAGUGAAGCUUCGGACACGUUUUUGACGCGCUAAACGCGUUUGGUUUGAACGCAGCAUCGGUUCUACCUCCAAACGUUUUACAAACAGGAAAACAACAACAGAGAAAUCAUAUUUCUCGCAUCGCCAGUGGAGGGAACUUGUCCCACAUUUCCAAUUGUGAGUUUAAAGAAGAUAAAAUUGGAUCCAAUUAAAGAGAUUUGUUUUUUGCUUACAUGUGGGAGAGCUGUUUACCUGCAGCGUCUUGGAUUUUGUAAUUACAGUGGAAGAUGAUCUGCCCUCCUGUUUAGCUUCUCUGCUUCUCCAAACAGCUCAUUUGAAUGUAAUUGCUGAUUUUGUUGGUGCUGAAGUGCCAUCACUGCUGUUUGGGAGUGAUGCAGUGGUGGUCUUGUUGUGGGUUGGUGGAUUUUCUCUCACUGCUAAACAUGCCACGUUCUGUCAAAGCCUCGUAAGACUUAAGGUUUUCAUUAUGAGCUUCGACAGUAAAAACCAUUAAUCUGAUGGUUUAAAUUCCAUUUAUACAUCUUAUUUUAUAAACACUCAUUAUUAGACCAAUUUGACAACUUUGGCUGCUCUUAUACCGUUUUCAUUCAGGUAAAAGUUAUUUCAUCAUAUAUUGCAGGAUAAAAUAGGUAUUUUCUCAGUUAUUGCACGUUUAAAUCCAGUUUCUGGACAGAUGACGGGACAGUAACAGUGUUCAAGCUUUCUUCACAUCUGUAGCUGAUUUUCCCAGGAUAGAUCAGUGUUGUUAUCGGGCUUUACGAGGAGAUAGGCCUCAGUAUCAUCUGUGCAGCAAAGGGAAGCAAAACCCUUUAAAAAUUGUGAGAAUAAACUAUGCAAAAGCCUUCUAAGGCUGGGGAAUAACUCAUAUAAAACCUCACUAAAAUGAGGUCUGGUACUUUAAAAACAUGGCCCACCACAUGACCCAGUCCAGACAAAUACUCAGACCCUAAGCUAAGCCUUGUCCACUGUUUUUGGGAGGAGUUGCAAAUAUAAAAUUCUGUCUCCUUUUCUGUCCCUGUUUAGAUUAACUGAAAUCCAGCUGCUCUGGAUGGAAAGUGCAGCUCUCACUUUGCUCUGCCCAUUGGUUGCUCUAACUCUGCUGUCUGCUUUUUGUCCUUUACACGCUUUCUUCUUUUUUUUUUCUUCUUCUUCGUGUGAGUUGACUCAGCAGCCGUUAAGCACAUGGGAGAAAGGCCGGUCAGUUCACAUUAAAAUAACCUCGGUUUCAUACAUAAGCUGCAGCACAUGUCCUGGUUUUACUCAGUAAACAACCACAGACAUUAGCAUUAGCAUUAACUGUCAACAUAAAGGAUAGUUGCAGUGUUAUGUAAAAUGAGUCAUUUGGAGGUCAGUGUCAUAAAUCAACCAGGCGUCAUUAACCAGACAGAAAUAUAAUUCGUCAAACUUCCCUUCACACCGAUGUUAGACAGCGACAUAACUUUAGCUGCGUACUUUGACUGUAUUCAGCAUGGAGGAGCGUAAAAGUUCCCAAACUGUUUUGAAAAUGCGGAAAGCUUCUAGAUCCAGAGGAACUGGGUGCUAAAGCAUCUAAUCCAGCGGCAUCAAACUCAAUUUUGUUUUGGGCCAAAUCCAGAUCAUGAAUCUUCUUAAAGGGCCGGUUGUGC